GACGAACGCUGGCGGCGUGCCUAAUACCUGCAAGUCGCACGCUGUUGCGAACGGGGGAGUAACGCGUAGGUAACCUGCCUUAUAGCGGGGGGUAACUAUUUGAAACGAUAACUAAUACCGCAUCCUGUGAGAUGGACCUGAGUUGUAUUAGCUAGUUGGUGCGGUAAAGGCUCACCAAGGCGACGAUACAUAGCCGACCUGAGAGGGUGAUCCGCCACACUGGGACGGAGCCGCGGCCACGAAGUCCACGGGAGGCAGGAGUAGCGGCUCUUGGGGAAUGGAAGGAAGGCCGACACAGCAAAGCCGCGUGAGUGGAGAAGGUUUUCGGAUUGUACAGCUCGGUUGUUGGAGCAGCGGUAACUACCCAGAAAGGGACGGGUAAAUACGCGCCAGCAGCCGCGGUAAUAC
rnacentral:rRNA from 1 species